rnacentral:lncRNA from 1 species
CCCUCAUCUCCCUUCGCUGACUCUCUUUUCGGACUCAGCCCGCCUGCACCCAGGUGAAAUAAACAGCCUUGUUGCUCACACAAAGCCUGUUUGGUGGUCUCUUCACAUGGACGUGCAUGAAAUUUGGUGCCGUGACUGGGAUCAAGUGACCUCCCUUGGGAGAUCAAUCCCCUGUCCUCCUGCUCUUUGCUCCAUGAAAAAGAUCCACCUACGACCUCAGGUCCUUAGACCUACCAGCCCAAGGAACAUCUCACCAAUUUUAAAUCAGGUAAGCGGCCUCUUCUUACUCUCUUCUCCAACCUUUCUCACUAUCCCUCAACCACUUUCUCCUUUCCACUCUUCAAUCUCUCCCUUCUCUUAAUUUCAAUUCUUUCAUUUUCUGGUAGAGACAAAGGAGACACAUUUUAUCCGUGGACCCAAAACUCCGGCGCCAGUCACGGACUGGGAAGGCAGCCUUCCCUUGGUGUUUAAUCAUUGCAGAGACGCCUCUCUGAUUAUUCACCCACGUUUCAGAGGUGUCAGACCACGCAGGGACGCCUGCCUUGGUCCUUCACCCUUAGCGGCAAGUCCCGCUUUUCUGGGGAAGGGCAAGUACCCCAACCCCUUCUCUCAGUGUCUCUAUCUCUUCUCUGCUUUUCUGGGGGAGAGGCAAGAACCCCUCAACCCCUUCUCCUUCACCCUUAGUGGCAAGUCCCACUUUUCUAGGGGAGGGGCAAGUACCCCAACCUCCUAUCUCUGCACCCCGAUCCCUUAUUUUCAUGCCCUGACCUCUUAUAUCUCUGUGCCCCAAUCCCUUAUUUCCACACCCCAACCUCUUAUAUCUCUGCGCCCUGAUCCCUUAUUUCCACGCCCCGACCUCGUAUCUCUGUGCCCCAACCCCUUUCCCGCUUUUCUGGAGGGUAAGAACCCCCUAACCGCUUCCCUCCGUGUCUCUACUCUCCCUUUUCUUUAAACUUGCCUCCUUCACUAUAAGCAACCUUCUACCCUCCAUUCCCCCUUAGCCUGUGUUCUCAAGAACUUAAAACCUCUUCAACUCACACCUGACCUAAAACCUAAACGCCUUAUUUUCUUCUGCAAUGCCACUUGACCCCAAUAUAAACUCGACAGUAGUUCCAAAUAGCCAGAAAACGGCACUUUCAAUUUUUCCAUCCUGCAAGAUCUAAAUAAUUCUUGUGGUAAAAUAGGCAAACGGUCUGAGGUGCCUGACAUCCAGGCAUUCCUUUACACAUCAGUCCCUUCCUAGUCUCUGUUCCCAAUGCAACUCGUCCCAAAUCUUCCUUCUUUCCCUCCUGCCUGUCCUCUCAGUCCCAACCCCAAGCGUUGCUGAGUCUAAUCUUCCUUUUUUACAGACCCAUCUGACCUCUCCCCUCCUCGCCAGGCCAAGCUAGGUCCCAAUUCUUCCUCAGCCUCCACUCCUCCCCCCUGUAAUCCUUUUAUCACCUUCCCUCCUCACACCUGGUCCGGCUUACAGUUUCGUUCAUGACUAGCCCUCCCCCACCUGCCCAGCAAUUUCCUCUUAAAAAGGUGGCUGAAGCUAAAGGCAUAGUCAAAGUUAAUGCUCCUUUUCUUUAUCAGACCUCUCCCAAAUCAGUGAGUGUUUAGGCUCUUUCAUCAAAUAUGAAAAACCCAGCCCAGUUCAUGGCUCGUUUGGCAGCAACCCUGAGAUGCUUUACAGCCCUAGACACUGAAGGGUCAGAAGGCCGUCUUAUUCUCAAUAUAUAUUUUAUUACCCAAUCUACUCCCAACAUUAAAUGAAACUCCAAAAAUUAAAUUCCGGCCCUCAAACCCCACAACAGGAUUUAAUUAACCUCGCCUUCAAGGUGUACAAUAAUAGAAAAAAGUUGCAAUUCCUUGCCUCCACUGUGAGACAAACCCCAGCCACAUCUCCAGCACACAAGAACUUCCAAAUGCCUGAACCGCAGUGGCCAGGCCUUCCUCCAGAACCUCCUCCCAAAGGAGCUUGCCACAAGUGCCAGAAAUCUGACCACCAGGCCAAGGAAUGUCCACAGCCCAGGAUUCCUCCUAAGCCGUGUCCCAUCUGUGCAGGACCCCACUGGAAAUCGGACUGUUCAACUCACCUGGCAGCCACUCCCAGAGCCCCUGGAACUCUAGCCCAAGGCUCUCUGAUGGACUCCUUCCCAGAUCUUCUCGGCUUAGCGGCUGAAGACUGACACUGCCCGAUUGCCUCAGAAGCCUACAAGACCAUCACAGACACUCUAAGUAGUCACAUAAGAAUGUGAUGUUUGGAGUUGCAGAAGCAAUUUUUUGACCCUACGGGACAAACCUGUACACGAAGAGCCAUUAUAUUGAAUAUGAUGGGUCAGAAGAAUGGAAACAGCCAGAGUUUUUGGUAACCCUGCUGAGCCAAAUCUCAACCCUGACACCACUUAUCCCUAGACUGCUAGUUAUGUGAGCUAAUUAAAUGUGUUUUGGUUUAAGG